rnacentral:rRNA from 1 species
UGGGGAAUAUUGCACAAUGGGCGAAAGCCUGAUGCAGCAACGCCGCGUGAGUGAUGAAGGCCUUCGGGUUGUAAAGCUCUGUCUUUUGGGACGAUAAUGACGGUACCAAAGGAGGAAGCCACGGCUAACUACGUGCCAGCAGCCGCGGUAAUACGUAGGUGGCAAGCGUUGUCCGGAUUUACUGGGCGUAAAGGAUGCGUAGGCGGAUUUUUAAGUGAGAUGUGAAAACCCUAAGCUUAACUUGGGGACUGCAUUUCAUACUGGAAAAUCUAGAGUGCGGGAGAGGAGAAUGGAAAUUCCUAGUGUAGCGGUGAAAAUGCGUAGAGAUUAGGAAGAACACCAGUGGCGAAGGCGAUUCUCUGGACCGUAACUGACGCUGAGGCAUGAAAAGCGUGGGUAGCAAAACAGGAUUAGAUACCCUGGUAGUCCACGCCGUAAACGAUGAGUACUAGGUGUAGGAGGUAUCGACCCCUUCUGUGCCGCAGUUAACACAAUAAGUACUCCGCCU